GACGAACGCUGGCGGCGUGCCUAAUACAUGCAAGUCGAACGCUUCUUUCCUCCCGAGUGCUUGCACUCAAUUGGAAAGAGGAGUGGCGGACGGGUGAGUAACACGUGGGUAACCUACCCAUCAGAGGGGGAUAACACUUGGAAACAGGUGCUAAUACCGCAUAACAGUUUAUGCCGCAUGGCAUAAGAGUGAAAGGCGCUUUCGGGUGUCGUUGAUGGAUGGACCCGCGGUGCAUUAGCUAGUUGGUGAGGUAACGGCUCACCAAGGCCACGAUGCAUAGCCGACCUGAGAGGGUGAUCGGCCACACUGGGACUGAGACACGGCCCAGACUCCUACGGGAGGCAGCAGUAGGGAAUCUUCGGCAAUGGACGAAAGUCUGACCGAGCAACGCCGCGGGAGUGAAGAAGGUUUUCGGAUCGUAAAACUCUGUUGUUAGAGAAGAACAAGGACGUUAGUAACUGAACGUCCCCGGACGGUAUCUAACCAGAAAGCCACGGCUAACUACGU
rnacentral:rRNA from 1 species